rnacentral:lncRNA from 1 species
AGGUAAGAGGACAAGCAGGGGGACAGGCCGGGGGAUGGGGGCCAGGCCGGGGGCCAGGCAGGGGGGUGAGCCAGGGGGAUCGGGGUGGGGCAAGAAGAGCAGACAGGACAAGCAAGGCACUUGAGGGAAGGUGGAAACCAGGUUCUGGAGGCAGCAUUGGAUGAAUGCGUGUGUGCUUGCGUGUGUGAGUGCACGUGUGCGCUGUAUGCGUGUGAACAUGCGUGUGCGCGUGCACGCUCCCUUCUGUUUGCUGCUCCUCCUUCCAAACUGCGGGCCGUCCUGUGAACCAGCAGGAGGAGGGUGUACGAGGUGUGCAGGGGCGGGGCGGCCGUGGGGUGGCCCGGGGAGCCAGGACCCCUGCGCGUGGACCCUGCACCCACACCUGGAGCCAGAGAAGGCGGCGGCAGGUGCACCCCCGGCAAACACCAGGAAAUCCUCACUCUCGGGGCCGUGGCGAGGGUAGCGGGGCCGACAGGACCACGGGGCUGUGACCGUCGUCGGAGCUCCCUGCUGCCACCCAGGGGCCUGGCCUCUGUGACGCGCCGUGGCUGCUUGCCGGGUCCGCUCUGCCUUACGCGGCGCCCACUGGCCCUUUGCCGGCGCGGGUGGAGGCGGUCCUUGAAGCAAGGACGCAUCUAGGACCUGCGACUGGGGGACGCUGUGCCCCCCGCCUGGCUGGCGCUCGGCUCCAUGGAUGCUCCUCUGGUCUCGGCCUCCUGGGGGCAUCGGGUAGUCCCCCGACAUUAGCACUGGUUUCUCUUCUGCUUCCCUGUUUCUUGCUCUCAAAUCUCAAAACUCAGCACUUGGCCAGCCUGGGGGCCGGCUCCGUGGUGUUGGCAGAGAGCCUGGGGGUCCCCCGGCGUCUCCGGGCUCCGUGUGCUCACCCUGUGUCGGAGGCCGGCACCAGCCGGAGGGUUUGGGGCAGGGAACACAGAGCGAGGUGGGGCUCCCAGCCUGAGCUCCUGACGGCGCGGGGAGAUGUGGGAUGUGCCUUGCAGGACACCGAGGACCCAGAGCGUCGCCCCAGGGACACGGGCCUGGCCUUGGGAGCCCGAAGGCACACGGAGGGGGCGGCCGGCGAGCGGGGCUGGUGGGCGUCAGGGCGGGGUGGGGGGGGACGCCGGGGCUUCUGCUCCCUUGGUGGGGACCCCGGGAUGCUCAUUCUGCAGCUCCCACCGCGCAGACGGCUGCAGCCCCGUGAGGCCGCAGAUUGCCGGAUUUGCACCCAGGACAGCGUCCCCUGUGGCCCUUCCUGAGCCCCCCCGCGGCCGCGCCUCCCCGCGUGGAAGCCCCGCUCAGCCGGCUGCGGGGGGUCUCGGUGGACUGCUGCGGGAGCCACGGGCGUCGGCCAGCGAGGACCUGGCUGCACCCCGGGUGGGGCACAGGGCUCAGGCAGGUGCUGUGCUGAGAACUACCUGCUGUGUCACCGGAGCCCACGGAGGGUUGUAUCCGUGGUGCGAUGGGGGGGGGGGCUCUGGCCACGGGGUCCUGUGUCCCCCUGGGAUGGGCUCCCCUGGAAUCAGCGAGUGGCCAACGGCCAACCGCAGUGUCCAGACCUCCCUGGACCCAUCACCGCAGCACCCAGGCCCGCCUCCGCCCAUCACUGCGCCCACGUGGUGUCCCUGUGUCUGCAGCCCCGCCCAGUCCAUCACCACAGCCUCCAGCGGGGUCGCCGCUCACCCACGGUGCCCUACAAGCACGUGAAAACUCAGGUCCGGGGUCUCAAUGCAGUGAAAUCCUUCGGUCCUCCUCCUUAACUAACGCCCUCGGUUUUUACAACUCGCUUGAAAAACCCUUUGCUUCCUUUACUGGCUGGGGGUAGCGAGGGUUUGGGGUGAGUGAGCGUAGCUGCUCUGCCCGUGGCCCGAGGGUGGAAGGUGGAGAAGGGGCCGAGGAGACGCAGAGGGGCUGCGGGUGCCGGGUCCCCACUGGGCCAGUCCAGGGCAGUGUGGACGUUAGGGUCCCGCAGGCUCGGGCACAGGGCAGUGGACGUCGGUGGCGGCCUGUGGGUCAUCGUUUGCGGCAGGAGCCCCGGCCGGUCUUUGAGUUGGCGCAUGACCUGCUGACCCGCGAGUCCGAGGCACAGACCUGUGCACCUGUGCUCCGCGCCCUCCGAACCCUGGAGGCUGGCAGGGGGGGCAGUGGCGCGCAGUCCCUGCGCUCGGGGGCUCCGGGCUGGCCCUCAGGCCAAGCUGGCAGCUGCCUCUCCUCACGCGGUGUUUACUGCCUGGAUGGAGGACACGGGGUGGGGGGGCGUAGGAGGGGGUCUGUGUCCGUGCAGAUUCGGGGGCCCCUUUCCUCCCCGCACUGCGCGGCUUGGAGUCCACAGCAAAACCCAUGAGGACCCGGAAAACCCGCGGCCCCCUUACAAGCAGGAAGGACCCUCUGGCUCCGCACUCCUGCGCCUCGCAGACCAGGCCGGAGGCGACGUACCGACCCCAGGAGGCCCUUGGGGGACGGCCAAGGAAGUCGGCCUGCGGAGGGCGAGACGGCCCCGGGGAAUCGCGGCUGGUGCUGGGCAGGGAGGCCGUCGGGAGCGUCCCUUCUGGGAGACGAACGCUGACGUCCCUCCCGGGGGUGUCGUAACACCUGCAGCGCCCAUUCGGAUGGGUCGGCGCGUCAACUGCGCCUCUACGCCAAAUAAUAAGAGAGUGACAGUUACUGAAUCCAUGUGGUGACCCCGCAUGACUCCUGCGGCUCUUGCAUUAGGUGACUUUUCACAAUAAGAAGGGAGGAAGUUGCACCGUGUGGGUCAAGAGCAGAAGUAACGGAUCCACCGGGUCGGGGAGGCAAAGCCCCGGGAGGGCGGCCCACUCACAAGUCGGGGGGCAGGUGCGCACGCAGGGGGAGGUGCAGUGCGCAGGCCGGGCGACGGGGUCUUCAUAACGAAGACGGGGUCUUCGUAUCCGAGGAGCAGACAUGGACGACAGGCCCUGGGUGACUCAGCGGCUCAGCCUGUGACUCUUGAUUGUGGCUCCAGUUGUGACCUCAGGGGCGUGGGCUGGAGCCUCCCAUCCGGCUCGGCGUGGGGCUCCGUGCUGGGCUUGGGGUCUGCUCCAGGCUCUGUCUGUCCCUCUGCACCCUGCCCCUACUCGUGCUCGCUCAUGCAAGCUCUCUCCCAUAAAAAAAAAAAAGAAAGAAAAGAAAAAAAGAAAAGAAAAGAAAAGAAAAGAAAAGAAAUAAAGGAAGAAAAAAAAAGAGAAGUGAGAGCCAAUGGCGCCCCAGCGCGGGGGUGGGAGGGCGACUGGGCAGGGAACAGAAAGAUUGAGCGUAGUUAGCACCGCCCACGGCCCGAGUGUGAGAGCGUGGCCUGGACUCCAGACAAAAGUAACGACCUGGCGCGUCCCUAGAAACCUUCUGGAAGUAGUUUCCAAUGACACCGGAGCGCAAGACGCUGCGCCGACCGCUCCCAGAAAAGGGCAAUCUUCCAUCUGCACGAUACACGGAGGAACAGGUUUUGCGUUACAGACCCCUCGGCAAUGCUAGGUAUUUUCCUAAGGUUGCAUCCUGCACUGUUUGAGUGAAGAAAGUAAGAAUUGGAGAAUAUUAUUCCCAGCCAAAUUACUUGUGAUAUGCGGUGUAAAAGUAUUCUCGGGUUCGGGCACGGAUGACGUAACCUCUAUGGGAGAAAGUUACGUCUUCACGGGGCUCGUUUGACCAAGAGCUGAGUUUGGAACAUGAAACUGGAGAAGUCACAUCCAGGCGUACCUGUGGGCCCCCCUCGCUGGAUCUGGACCCCAGUUUUAGUAAGAUGGUCUGACGAUGGGAGCCCAGAGGGAAGCAUGAGCACGUGGGGUCCCCGUAGCUCUCCUUCCCCCACGUCUGUCCUUCCCUGCGCUGGGCGGUGUCACGGGGAGGGAGCGCACCGCCCCAGGUCGGAGGAGCCCACGGGCCGGGGACACGCACCACUCCAGGUCCAAGUAACGGACGGGCCGGGGACAUGCACCACCUGAGGUCGGAGGAGCCCGUGGGCCGGGGACAUGCACAGCCCAGGGUGCUGGGCUCUCCAAAGCGCAAACACGCUCACUGGCUGACGUGGCGAGCGGCGUGGCUGUGACAUCCCGGAGCAUGCAGGGAAGGGAGGAGUGUCCCCGGCGCCGUUUCCAAGCCCUGGGACUCCCAGAGCCCUCUGCUCAGCGCUGCUCCUGGCUCUGGGGACACAGCUUCUGCCACCCAGCCCUGUCUGGGGGGUGACAACCCCCCUCCCCAGGUGACUGGAACAGCUGGGGUCUUCUCACGAGUGGCCCUCAAGCGACUGAGCUUCCAUUAUCUUUGCGGCUGCAGAGGAGCUGGGGAUCAUUGUGUUUGCUGCUUGGGGCUGAGGACUAUCACUUGCUUCCUGGGGAUUAAAAUCCAGAGGAGCAGGGCACCCGGGUGGCUCAAGUUCUGACCUCAGGGCCCUGUGGUGGAGGCCCGGCCCUGCCCCAGCUGCCUUGAGUCUCUCAAGCCCUUGGGAAACAGGCUUGGGGUUCGGCCAGGGGGAGGGAGCACUGUGCCAGGAGUCCGGGAGCAGGGGCUGAGCUCCUCCUCGCCAGCUGGGCUGUGCCUUUGGACGGUUGCUCUGCGGCUCCUCUGCAGCUCAGGACGGGGGGGGGGGGGGGGGGGGGGGGGGGGGCGGCUGCACCGGCCUGGAGGUCUGCAAGGACGGUCCAGGGGCGGC